rnacentral:rRNA from 1 species
AAUUAGAAGGCAUCUUUUAAUUUUUAAAAGACCUUUUUCGAAAGGUAUACUUAAAGAGGGGCUUGCGGCACAUUAGUUAGUUGGUAGGGUAAAAGCCUACCAAGACCAUGAUGUGUAGCUGGACUGAGAGGUUGAACAGCCACAUUGGGACUGAGACACGGCCCAAACUCCUACGGGAGGCAGCAGUAGGGAAUUUUCGGCAAUGGAGGAAACUCUGACCGAGCAACGCCGCGUGAACGAUGAAGUAUUUCGGUAUGUAAAGUUCUUUUAUUGAAGAAGAAAAAAUAGUGGAAAAACUAUCUUGACGAUAUUCAAUGAAUAAGCCCCGGCAAACUAUGUGCCAGCAGCCGCGGUAAUACAUAGGGGGCGAGCGUUAUCCGGAAUUAUUGGGCGUAAAGGGUGCGUAGGCGGUUUGGUAAGUCUAUAGUUUAAUUUCAGUGCUUAACACUGUUCUGCUAUAGAAACUAUCAGACUAGAGUGAGAUAGAGGCAAGUGGAAUUCCAUGUGUAGCGGUAAAAUGCGUAAAUAUAUGGAGGAACACCAGAGGCGUAGGCGGCUUGCUGGGUCUUUACUGACGCUGAGGCACGAAAGCGUGGGGAGCAAACAGGAUUAGAUACCCUGGUAGUCCACGCCGUAAACGAUGAGUACUAAGUGUCGGGGAAACUCGGUACUGAAGUUAACACAUUAAGUACUCCGCCUGAGUAGUACGUACGCAAGUAUGAAACUUAAAGGAAUUGACGGGACUCCGCACAAGCGGUGGAUCAUGUUGUUUAAUUCGAAGAUACACGAAAAACCUUACCAGGUCUUGACAUACUCUGCAAAGCUAUAGCAAUAUAGUGGAGGUUAUCAGGGAUACAGGUGGUGCAUGGUUGUCGUCAGCUCGUGUCGUGAGAUGUUAGGUUAAGUCCUAAAACGAGCGCAACCCUUGUCACUAGUUGCCAGCAUGUUAUGAUGGGCACUUUAGUGAGACUGCCAAUGAAAAAUUGGAGGAAGGUGAGGAUCACGUCAAAUCAUCAUGCCCCUUAUGAUCUGGGCUACAAACGUGAUACAAUGGCUGUUACAAAGAGUAGCUAAAACGCGAGUUUAUAGCCAAUCUCAUAAAAGCAGUCUCAGUUCGGAUUGAAGUCUGCAACUCGACUUCAUGAAGUUGGAAUCGCUAGUAAUCGCGAAUCAGCAUGUCGCGGUGAAUACGUUCUCGGGGUUUGUACACACCGCCCGUCAAACCACGAAAGUUGGUAAUACUCAAAAACGGUAGCCUAACUUCUUCGGAAGAGGGAACUGUCUAAGGUAGGAU